ACUGCUCAGUAACACGUGGACAACCUACCCUCAGAUCUGGGAUAAACCUGGGAAACUGGGUAUAAUACCGGAUAGGUCUUGGAUGCUGGAAUGCACCGAGGCCCAAAGCUCCGGCGUCUGAGGAUGGGUCUGCGGCCUAUCAGGGUAGUAGUGGGUGUAAAGUACCUACUAGCCUACGACGGGUACGGGUCGUGAGAGCGAGAGCCCGGAGAUGGAUUCUGAGACACGAAUCCAGGCCCUACGGGGUGCCGCAGGCGCGAAAACUUUACAAUGCCGGCAACGGCGAUAAGGGGACCUCGAGUGCCAGGAUACAAUCCUGGCUGUCGUAAUGCCUAAAAAGCAUUAUAUAGCAAGGGCCGGGCAAGACCGGUGCCAGCCGCCGCGGUAACACCGGCGGCUCGAGUGGUAACCGCUAUUAUUGGGUCUAAAGGGUCUGUAGCCGGCCUGGUAAGUCUUUUGGGAAAUCCGGCAGCUCAGCUGUCGGGCUAUCAGAGGAUACUGCUAGGCUCGAGACCGGGAGAGGUGAGAGGUACUUCAUGGGUAGGGGUGAAAUCUUGUAAUCCUUGAAGGACCACCAGUGGCGAAGGCGUCUCACCAGAACGGAUCUGACGGCAAGGGACGAAAGCUAGGGGCACGAACCGGAUUAGAUACCCGGGUAGUCCUAGCCGUAAACGAUACUCGCUAGGUGUCGGCCACGGUGCGACCGUGGUCGGUGCCGUAGGGAAGCCGUGAAGCGAGCCACCUGGGAAGUACGGCCGCAAGGCUGAAACUUAAAGGAAUUGGCGGGGGAGCAC
rnacentral:rRNA from 1 species